rnacentral:lncRNA from 1 species
ACCCACAACUGCCGUCUUUCGAUAACCCCUCACCUGUGCCUCCUCUCUUCCUCUCUCUCCCCCCCCCACCCAUAGCUGCCGUACAUCUUCCGGUAACCCCCCCAUCCACACCUCUUCUCUUCUUCUCUCUCCCACAGUCACCAUGUCAUUUCCUUCCAAGCCGAGUUUUCUACCCCACGACUGCCAUCUCCUCUCCUCCCAAACCCUCCACCAGCAAUUAAUGAAUAUUUUGUAUGAAUUACAUUUAAAAAUUUAUAUUCUCAUUGUUUCUCACUAUUGUUUCUCAUUAUUUAUGUUUAUACUGACAGGAUAAACACAAACUGCAAAUAAUCCUGAUUAGGAUAAAUACAACCGUGGAUAGGA